rnacentral:rRNA from 1 species
UGAGUAACACGUAUCCAACCUGCCGUCUACUCUUGGACAGCCUUCUGAAAGGAAGAUUAAUCCAGGAUGGCAUCAUGAGUUCACAUGUCCGCAUGAUUAAAGGUAUUUUCCGGUAGACGAUGGGGAUGCGUUCCAUUAGAUAGUAGGCGGGGUAACGGCCCACCUAGUCUUCGAUGGAUAGGGGUUCUGAGAGGAGGGUCCCCCACAUUGGAACUGAGACACGGUCCAA